rnacentral:rRNA from 1 species
AAACUUUCAACAACGGAUCUCUUGGCUCUGGCAUCGAUGAAGAACGCAGCGAAAUGCGAUACGUAAUGUGAAUUGCAGAACUCAGUGAAUCAUCGAAUCUUUGAACGCACAUUGCGCCCGCCAGUAUUCUGGCGGGCAUGCCUGUUCGAGCGUCAUU